AUAUGACGAUGGUGGUGGAUAUGAUGAUGGUGGUGGAAGUGGUGGUUGGUUGCUGCUUGAGCUAUGCCUCAUCAUCAUCAUCAUCAUCAUCAUCAUCAUCAUAA
rnacentral:miRNA from 1 species